rnacentral:tRNA from 1 species
GGGGCCGUAGCUCAGUUGGGAGAGCGUCUCGUUCGCAUCGAGAAGGUCAGGGGUUCGAUUCCCCUCGGUUCCA